UACGGGGGGGGCAAGCGUUGUUCGGAAUUACUGGGCGUAAAGGGUGCGUAGGCGGUCUAUUAAGUCAGUGCUGAAAUAUCCCGGCUUAACCGGGAGGGUGGCAUUGAUACUGAUGGACUUGAGUAGAGUCGAGGUAGGCGGAAUUGACGGUGUAGCGGUGAAAUGCUUAGAUAUCGUCAAGAACACCGAUAGUGUAGACAGCUUACUAGGCUCAAACUGACGCUGAGGCACGAAAGUGUGGGGAUCAAACAGG
rnacentral:rRNA from 1 species